AACGGAGGGGGCUAGUGUUACUCAACUUUACUGGGCGUAAAGGGCAUGUAGGCGGUUUGCUCUAUUUUUUGUAAAAUAUUCGAGCUUAACUUGAAGAAUACGAAAAUGAUUGGUGGACUAGAGUUUAUUAUAAGAAGGUGGUACUUUCAAUGUAGAGGUGAAAUUCGUAAAAAUUGAAAGGACUACCAACUGGCGAUGGCGACCUUCUACUGUAAACUGACGCUAAAGUGCGAAGGCAUGGGGAGCGAACGGG
rnacentral:rRNA from 1 species